GAUUAGAGUUUGAUCCUGGCUCAGAUUGAACGCUGGCGGCAGGCCUAACACAUGCAAGUCGAGCGGUAACAGAAAGUAGCUUGCUACUUUGCUGACGAGCGGCGGACGGGUGAGUAAUGCUUGGGAACAUGCCUUGAGGUGGGGGACAACAGUUGGAAACGACUGCUAAUACCGCAUAAUGUCUACGGACCAAAGGGGGCUUCGGCUCUCGCCUUUAGAUUGGCCCAAGUGGGAUUAGCUAGUUGGUGAGGUAAUGGCUCACCAAGGCGACGAUCCCUAGCUGGUUUGAGAGGAUGAUCAGCCACACUGGGACUGAGACACGGCCCAGACUCCUACGGGAGGCAGCAGUGGGGAAUAUUGCACAAUGGGCGCAAGCCUGAUGCAGCCAUGCCGCGUGUGUGAAGAAGGCCUUCGGGUUGUAAAGCACUUUCAGUCAGGAGGAAAGGUUAGUAGUUAAUACCUGCUAGCUGUGACGUUACUGACAGAAGAAGCACCGGCUAACUCCGUGCCAGCAGCCGCGGUAA
rnacentral:rRNA from 1 species